rnacentral:rRNA from 1 species
CUAGNAUUUAUACUGUGAACUGCGGCUCAUUAUAUCAGUUAUAUUUUAUUUGAUGGUAUUUUGCUACNUGGAUAACUGUGGUAAUUCUAGAUCNUAUACGUGCAAAAAAUCCACAUUGGCGGGAAGGNGNANUNCAAACGCCCCCGGCUGGCCUCUCCCUUGUUGAUUGAUAAUACCUUCUCNAAUCGCAUGGCCUUGCGCCGGCGAUGCUUCAUUCACCUAUCUGCCCUAUCCCCUUUCGAUGGUAAGAUAGAGGCCGACGAUGAACCCGGCGGCCAGCGGGNUGGGNANAAUAUAUUUGNUAUUAUGAACUUCGGAUUUUAAUACCAAAUAUGAGUCACGAUUCAUUCGAAUUUCUGCCCCAUCAACUCUCGAUGGUAGGAUAGAGGCCUACCAUGGUCGCAACGGGUAACGGGGANU